AAAGAGAAGCUAUCAGAGGAAUUUCCCAACCCAGGCAAUUCAAAUCCACCUUCUCUCAGAAAUUCUACAAGGAAAAAAAAAAAAAAGAAUCUCCAUCAGGGAUGAAGGGAGACUGGGGCUGCAGACACUCAGGGGCAGUGACAUCACAGGCAAAGCCACCAACCAGGGAGGAGGAGACCAGAGACCAACCCCCUUGCCCAGGGCAUCCUAGUUUGUUGAGGCCACUUUGCCCUGCCUCUGCCAUGUGCCUCGGGGUGCUCUGCCCUGCGGUCCUCUGUCUCCUGGGAGCAGUCUCUGUGGACACUGGAGUUACUCAAACACCCAGAUACCUGGUCCUGGGAACGAGAGAUAAGAGAUCUUUGACUUGUGAACAAGAUCUGGGACAUAAUGCUAUGUACUGGUAUAAACAGAGUGCUCAGAAGCCACCGGAGCUCAUGUUCACCUGUAACUACGAAGACCGCACUGGAAAUGAGUCUGUUCCGAGUCGCUUCAGUCCUAAAUGCCCAGAGAACUCCCCCCUUUACCUGCACGUGGACGCCCUGAAACCAGAAGACUCGGCCGUGUAUCUCUGCGCCAGCAGUAGAGACACAGCCCUGCAGAGCCAGCCGCUUCCUCUGCACAAACCUUGAGCACCCAGCCAGGAGGCUGUGGGGCCAACCAAGGUCGGUUCCCCAUUUCCUGGAAGACCCUCAAUGGAAAGCUCAGACCCUGAGACCGCCUGCGGGCUCAUGGCCAUGGCUCUUCUGAGUUCCAUCACAGCCACCAGCCACCUGUCCUGAGCAAGACUGGGCCUGCAGCUGAAUGUAGGACGAUGUUCAAGUCUAUCCCACGCAUUUUCCAAUUGGCUGGCCUCCCCGGAAAGCCUUUUGGGAGACACUUGACCCUCUGUCCUCCCAGUCCUGCUUCCAAUAGGUGCCUGUCUCUGACUUCUUCCGUCCAAGUUCGGCCAGGUUCUCAGAUCUGACCCCAGCCACACAUAUGCGCAGACACUUUUCAAAGCGCCUCAUUCCCUCAGCAGGGGCUCUGUCCUUUCCAGCCCCUGAGGACCACAGAUCCCCCAUCUGGUCCCUGCGUCUCAAGUUCAUGCUGCUGCACGUCCAGGGGCUCGGUACCUCACAGGCUCCUCUUCCACUCAACACUGCCUUUCAGGCUUGGUCCUUGGUCCUCCUGUCUCUUUAACCCUAGUUCUUCAGGGCUUCCCAUCCUGCAUUAUCAGCCAUAGGGUCUGCUGCCCUUGCGAAGCCCUGCUCACACCAGCCAGUGAGAAGGGAUGGCCUCCUGACAUUUCAGUUCAGACCUUUGUGCUCAGAGCUGUCCCGGCUGAACCCCGUAUCUUCGGGCUCUGCUCCCUGUAAUGGGCAUCAGGCCAGUGCACACCAGCAGCCAAGGGCUGGCAGAGCCCUGCAUCCCUUCCUGGAAGCUCACCUGUCUGCAUCUGUACCAGGCUCCCGCCUUCCCCCUGAGAGGGCACUCCAGGCUCCCCUGACCAUCAUACUGGGGCACUCCAAGCCCCAAACCAUCAUACUGGGGACCAGGUCAAGGGGAAUGCAACUCUGCCUUAGGAGUGUGGGUUUCCCUUCACCUGAGCAUGACCCUGCUCUGUCAACUUCUAUAAAGAUAAGCACAUUGAGGUCUAGUGGUUUUAAGGCCUUACUUACUGCCAAAUACCCAAGCCUGUGUCAAGCGGAAUGUCUAUAUUCACCAAUUCCAGGGUUCUCUAAUCCAGCUUGUGUGUUUUCUGAGUUCUCAUUUUCCCACUCAAGGCUAGAGCAACCCCUUCCCUGAUCAGAGCCCAAAUCUGCACAGACACUUGCUCUCAACCCCAGAGGCAGCCAAUGAGCCUCUGAGUCCCUCUGUUCAGGGCACUGGGCUGGGUACCUACUUUCGCAUCUGUUCUCCUUCCCUGGCACUGAAACGUCCCUUUAGGGGUCGGGUCUCAGCCUCUCACUGGCGUUCCUCUCCACAUGACACUGGUGCCUGAACCUGGCCUCUGCUCACAGGUGCUGAACAGAAACACAGAGAGUUUAGGGUGAAAGAGAAAAGAUAGCUCUAUUGCUCUAGCAGCCAAAGGAGAGUCACAGCAGCCUAAGGCCUCAAAGACUGAGUCAGACUUAGGGGAGAUUGGGAGCUGGUUCUAUGGUUUGGGGAAUGCAGAACAGGGCCAGAGAUAAGGGUCAGGGGAGAGGCAAGCUUGCAUUAGUUCCAAAGCUGGGGUUCAGUGGCCUGGUGGACUUCUUUCCCUAUUGGAGAGGCUUCCUUAUCAUCUUCCAUUUGAGGGGGUGAGAAAGCACACUGAGAAUUUGAGACACCCACCUCUGAGGGCGAGGCAGGCAGGGAGGCGAUCAGCUGCCCUGCGUGUUGUGGUACACCUGCUACCUGGGGCAUCUGAGUGUCUGGGUGGGUUAUUCCCUGGGAAGGUGGGGUGUGGGGGUCUUAUUCCUUAAUUUUCAUCCCAGCUUCACCAUCCCCAAGGGAGGAGGGAUCUUUGUCCUCAUCGAGCUUGAUCACACGUGUCAUGGCUUUAGUGCAUGAAGGGCACUUCUGCUCUGAUAGCUAAUUGUGUUAUAAUGUUAUGAUGCUGAGAGCAUCAUGAGCCAACAGGAUCCAUCUGGACACAGAGAUGCGCCCUCUUCUCGACAUUUCCUUGCACCCAGA